CACCUAACUUCAUCAACAGGACAUAUAGGGUCACAGACAUAGUACUAUAUUCAGAGUUGUUCUAACUCCUAAGAAAACAAACUUAAGCGGGGGCGUUUCUCCACCUCUGUAGUCUAUAAACUGGGCCAAUAAACUUCUACUGUAGUAAAAUGAAAAGGUAAAGGUGUUUUUAUUGAGCCGAAUUAUCAAUAAAAUCAUGAUUUUGUUAACAGGUAUGGAUUUAUGUGCUGUUGAGUUAAUAUAUUUGAACAAGAGCACAGUAAAGUUAAAUCAGCUAAUUUUCCAAUGAGGUUCUGUUACUGAACGGAACUACACCAUGAUCUACUGAGGUUAGUACAUAUAGGGUCACAGACAUAGUACUAGACACCAAACAUCUUUUUAACUUUGACUCAUUUCUUUAGCAAAGAGACUAAACACAACUCACCUACUCUCUUCCAGCAGACGCUUGUUUGUAGAGAGACCUCAGGCCAGUCCAUUACAGACUACAGCGGGGUGACGCAGCUCAAGGAAGAACAUUUAUGAUCAUUUCUUUAUCAUUUCCUUGAAGUAAUAAUCACCAUAUUAAUCAUUUUACAGACGCGGUAGUUCUUCUGUCUUAGCGUCUCGGUCUGAUUGUAUUUCCAUGAAGAAAUGAUCAUAAAUGUUCUUCCUUGAGCUGCGUCACCCCGCUGUAGUCUGUAAUGGACUGGCCUGAGGUCUCUCUACAAACAAGCGUCUGCUGGAAGAGAGUAGGUGAGUUGUGUUUAGUCUCUUUGCUAAAGAAAUGAGUCAAAGUUAAAAAGAUGUUUGGUGUCUAGUACUAUGUCUGUGACCCUAUAUGUCCUGUUGAUGAAGUUAGGUGCUGUUCUGAGCAUUAUUUGUGGCUAUAGAGUGGCGUUUUGGUUGGGGGCGUGUCUCUCUGUAUUUCUAUCCUGCGGUCGUUACUAAAGUUGGUAUAACUAGAGAAGGAAGCGGUCGACAACAUUCAUCUCUGGAGGGGGGGUCUAACUCGGUGUUAUGGUGGGUUUGACCCUAAAUUAAUUUUACAUCAGAAUAUCCCUUUAAA